AGUGAACGCUGGCGGCAGGCCUAACACAUGCAAGUCGAGCGGCAGCGCGGGGGCAACCCUGGCGGCGAGCGGCGGACGGGUGAGGAAUACAUCGGAAUCUGCCUUGUUGUGGGGAAUAACGUAGGGAAACUUACGCUAAUACCGCAUAAGACCGAAAGGUGAAAGUGGGGGAUCGCAAGACCUCACGCGACAAGAUGAGCCGAUGUCGGAUUAGCUAGUUGGUGGGGUAAUGGCCCACCAAGGCGACGAUCCGUAGCUGGUCUGAGAGGAUGAUCAGCCACACUGGGACUGAGACACGGCCCAGACUCCUACGGGAGGCAGCAGUGGGGAAUAUUGGACAAUGGGCGCAAGCCUGAUCCAGCCAUGCCGCGUGUGUGAAGAAGGCCUUCGGGUUGUAAAGCACUUUUGUUGGGAAAGAAAUCCUGUCGGUUAAUACCUGGCGG
rnacentral:rRNA from 1 species